CAUCAAUCAACAUUUUCGGUUUCAACAUCCAAUAAAAUGGGAUGUAAUUGCCUUGUGCAGCAAUCUAAAAACCCCGGCCUCGAACAGUCGCGUGUCAAGUAUACAACCUAAUAAUCUAUAUGUUGAUUCAUUUCAACAGCUAUAUGUCCAGUUUAAAUGCUCGUGGUCGUUUGUCUUCAGAUAUACACGAGAUUUGUCAUGAACAGCUCAACAGCGUGUUUUGCAAAGCAAGUGUUGACAUAGAUUUAUUUGCACUUGUGUAAAACUGGAACGUAUAUUAAUCACACAACACUUUUCGAGCUCUUCAGCACAUCUGGCGAAAAUUUUCAAAUUUACCGACCUAAACUAGCCUGUACAAGCUUCUCAAGCUUCUCGUGAUUAGAGUUUUGUAAUGUAAUAUCAGUAAGGCUUAACAGCGUUCAGCGCAAUUGUAAAGGGCAGACCUUUCAGGGGCAAAGCAUUUGAAAGUAGCUAGGAGAGGGGGUAUAGGAUUUUACCUGAAUUUGAACUGCAA